AGAACGAACGCUGGCGGCGUGGAUAAGACAUGCAAGUCGAACGCGACUUAUUUUGUUAGCAAUAACGAGAUAAGUUGAGUGGCGAAAGGGUGCGUAACACGUGGGAAUUUACCAAGAAGUGGGGAAUAGCUCGACGAAAGUCGAAUUAAUACCGCAUGUGAUCGAAAGAUCAAAGUCGGGGACCGCAAGGCCUGACGCUUUUUGAGGAGCCCGCGGCCCAUCAGCUAGUUGGUGAGGUAAAAGCUCACCAAGGCUAUGACGGGUAGCUGGUCUGAGAGGACGACCAGCCACACUGGAACUGAGACACGGUCCAGACACCUACGGGUGGCAGCAGUCGAGAAUUUUUUCACAAU
rnacentral:rRNA from 1 species